rnacentral:rRNA from 1 species
CGGGUGAGUAAUGUAUGGGGAUCUGCCUGAUGGCGGGGGAUAACUACUGGAAACGGUAGCUAAUACCGCAUAAUGUCUGCGGACCAAAGCGGGGGACCUCCGGGCCUCGCGCCAUCAGAUGAACCCAUAUGGGAUUAGCUUGUAGGUAAGGUAACGGCUUACCUAGGCGACGAUCCCUGGCUGGUCUGAGAGGAUGAUCAGCCACACUGGGACUGAGACACGGCCCAG